rnacentral:lncRNA from 1 species
CAACAAAGUACUGAUCUAGUAAAAUAAAAACAUUGCUGAUUUUGCAGAACAGUUUAUAAAUACCAAUGCCGGAAUUCACCAUAUCACAUAGGAAGUUAUACUUUCAUACAAAUUAAAAAUACAUCAAGAGAAAAACAGUAAAUAGUUGAGUUGAAUAAUAGUAAAAAAGAAAAAUCUAAAAGGAAGGGAAUAUUAUUUUUCAUACAUGGCACAGUGAAGUUGAAGCGGG